UACGUAGGGGGCAAGCGUUGUCCGGAUUUAUUGGGCGUAAAGAGCGUGUAGGCGGCCAUACAGGUCAGCUGUGAAAACUCGAGGCUCAACCUCGAGACGUCGGUUGAAACCGUCUGGCUAGAGUCCGGAAGAGGAGAGUGGAAUUCCCGGUGUAGCGGUGAAAUGCGCAGAUAUCGGGAAGAACACCCGUGGCGAAGGCGGAUCUCUGGGCCAUUACUGACGCUGAGGAGCGAAAGCGUGGGGAGCGAACAGG
rnacentral:rRNA from 1 species